rnacentral:rRNA from 1 species
UACAGAGGGUGCGAGCGUUAAUCGGAAUUACUGGGCGUAAAGGGUGCGUAGGUGGUUUGGUAAGUUUAGGUGUGAAAAGUCCCGGGCUUAACCUGGGGAUUGCGCCUGAUACUGCUAAACUCGAGUACUGUAGAGGAAAGUGGAAUUUCCGGUGUAGCAGUGAAAAUGCGUAGAUAUCGGAAGGAACAUCAGUGGCGAAGGCGACUUUCUGGACAGUUCCUGACGCUGAGGCACGAAGGCCAGGGGAGCAAACGGA